rnacentral:rRNA from 1 species
GGCGAACGGGUGAGUAAUGCAUCGGAACGUGCCCCGUCGUGGGGGAUAACGAGUCGAAAGAUUCGCUAAUACCGCAUACGACCUGAGGGUGAAAGCGGGGGACCGGCAACGGCCUCGCGCGAUGGGAGCGGCCGAUGUCCGAUUAGCUAGUUGGCGGGGUAAGAGCCCACCAAGGCGACGAUCGGUAGCUGGUCUGAGAGGACGGCCAGCCACACUGGAACUGAGACACGGUCCAGACUCCUACGGGAGGCAGCAGUGGGGAAUUUUGGACAAUGGGGGCAACCCUGAUCCAGCCAUGCCGCGUGAGUGAAGAAGGCCUUCGGGUUGUAAAGCUCUUUUGGCGGGAACGAAAUCGCUCUUCUGAAUACGGGGGGCGGAUGACGGUACUCGCAGAAUAAGCACCGGCUAACUACGUGCCAGCAGCCGCGGUAAUACGUAGGGUGCGAGCGUUAAUCGGAAUUACUGGGCGUAAAGCGUGCGCAGGCGGCUCUUUAAGUCAGAUGUG